UACGGGGGGGGCAAGCGUUGUUCGGAAUUACUGGGCGGAAAGGGCGCGUAGGCGGCCUUCUAAGUCGAACGUGAAAUCCCUGGGCUCAACCCAGGAACUGCGUCCGAUACUGGAAGGCUUGAAUCCGGGAGAGGGAUGCGGAAUUCCAGGUGUAGCGGUGAAAUGCGUAGAUAUCUGGAGGAACACCGGUGGUGAAGGCGGCAUCCUGGACCGGUAUUGACGCUGAGGCGCGAAAGCCAGGGGAGCAAACGGG
rnacentral:rRNA from 1 species